GAUCAUGGCUCAGGACGAACGCUGGCGGCGUGCCUAACACAUGCAAGUCGAACGAGGCUCGAAGCUCUGAGAUUUCGGUCAAGGAGCGGAGAUGACUUAGUGGCGAACGGGUGAGUAAUGCGUGAGCAACCUGCCUUUCAGAGGGGGACAACAGCUGGAAACGGCUGCUAAUACCGCAUAAUACAUUUGGGUGGCAUCAUCUGAAUGUCAAAGGAGCAAUCCG
rnacentral:rRNA from 1 species